rnacentral:snRNA from 2 species
AGCUUUGCGCAGUGGCGAUAUCGUAACCAAUGAGGUUCUACCGAGGUGCGAUUAUUGCUAGUUGAAAACUUUUACCAAUACCCCGCCAUGACGAUGUGAAAUACCAUCGGCUACGGCAAUUUUUGAAAGUUUCUACGGAAA